rnacentral:tRNA from 1 species
GAGGGUACAGCUCAAGUGGUAGAGCACAUGCUUAGCAUGCACGAGGUCCUGGGUUCAAUCCCUAGUACCUCCA